ensembl:snoRNA small nucleolar RNA SNORD100
UUUAUCGCUGAUGAUGUCUUGGCUCCCUCUACUGAGUUUCAAUGUAGAAGUCUGCCAUUGUUACCCAAUUUUUGUCUGAGAUAUG